rnacentral:rRNA from 1 species
GAUGAACGUUGGCGGCGUGCCUAAUACAUGCAAGUCGAACGAAGACUGUAGUAAUACUGUCUUAGUGGCGAACGGGUGAGUAACGCGUGGGUGACCUGCCCCGAAGUGUGGGAUAACAGUCCGAAAGGAUUGCUAAUACUGCAUAAUAUCCAAGAGAUUAGAUGCUUUUGGAUUAAAGGAGUAAUUCGCUUCGGGAGGGGCCCGCGUCCCAUCAGCUAGUUGGUAAGGUAAUGGCUUACCAAGGCGAUGACGGGUAGGGGACCUGAGAGGGUGGCCCCCCACAAUGGAACUGAAACACGGUCCAUACACCUACGGGUGGCAGCAGUAGGGAAUAUUAGUAAUGGGCGAAAGCCUGAACUAGCAACGCCGCGUGUGCGAAGAAGGCCUUCGGGUCGUAAAGCUCUGUCAGAUGGGAAGAAAUGGAUGGGGGCUAAUAUCGCCCAUCCUUGACGGUACCAUCAGAGGAAGCACCGGCUAACUCCGUG